rnacentral:rRNA from 1 species
UACGAAGGGAGCUAGCGUUGUUCGGAAUCACUGGGCGUAAAGCGCACGUAGGCGGAUUGCUAAGUCAGGGGUGAAAUCCUGGAGCUCAACUCCAGAACUGCCUUUGAUACUGGCGAUCUAGAGUCCGGAGGAGGUGAGUGGAACUCCUAGUGUAGAGGUGGAAUUCGUAGAUAUUAGGAAGAACACCAGUGGCGAAGGCGGCUCACUGGUCCGGUACUGACGCUGAGGUGCGAAAGCGUGGGGAGCAAACAGG